rnacentral:rRNA from 1 species
CUAGUUGGUGUGGUAAAAGCAUACCAAGGCGACGAUCAGUAGCUGGUCUGAGAGGAUGAGCAGCCACACUGGGACUGAGACACGGCCCAGACUCCUACGGGAGGCAGCAGUGGGGAAUUUUCCGCAAUGGGCGAAAGCCUGACGGAGCAAGACCGCGUGGGGGAGGAAGGCUUUAGGGUUGUAAACCCCUUUUCUUUGGGAAGAACAUAUUGACGGUACCAAAGGAAUCAGCCUCGGCUAACUCCGUGCCACCAGCCGCGGUAAUACGGAGGAGGCAAGCGUUAUCCGGAAUGAUUGGGCGUAAAGCGUCCGCAGGUGGCCAUGUAAGUCUGCUGUCAAAACCCAGGGCUCAACUCUGGUCAGGCAGUGGAAACUACAAAGCUAGAGUCUGGUAGGGGCAAAGGGAAUUCCCGGCGUAGCGGUGAAAUGCGUAAAUUUCG